UUGAAACAUUAAUUUAUUUUCUGUUCCGCUUCGUCCAGUUCAGGGUUGAGAGGAAGCUGGAGCCUCUCCCAGCAAUAAGCAGGCGAGAGACAGGUACGCCUGGACAGGCCGCCAGCCCGUCGCAGAUAAGAGAAACAGAAAAGUAAAAUAAAAUAAAAUAAAAUA